CUGAUGAGGGUUUGGGGCCAGAGCUCUGGGAGUUGGGGGUGGAGGGAUUUUACCAAUCCUUCGUGUGCCUGAGGCUCAUCUCUCAUCCAGGACCCCUGGGGGAGGAUCAGGGGCUCUCAGGAUGACCUCAUCUUUCCUCCUCCCCACAGGCAUAUCCGCUGGCCUUCUGGACACCAGCGACAACGAAGCAGGCACCGAUCUGAUGUUGCCGGACGGCUCUGUGGCUCACAGCCUGGAGGAGCUCAGCCUGGCCUGGCAGGUGGAUGGUGACUGCAGGGCCACCGAGAAGCCUGAGCCAACCUGCCCAGGACAGAGCCCCGCCCACCGGGCCUUCCUCCAGGACCCCUCAUCCAGCUUGGGGAACUGCUUCCGGGUGGUGAGUGUGAGCCUGUGCCCUGGAGCACAGCAAGCUCUUUCCCCAAUCUACCCUGGGGAUUGGCAUGGAGCAGAGGCCUAGGCUAGAGACAGUGACUGGGGGGCUCUGAUUUCAGAUGGAGCCUGCACCAUUCCUUAGCCUUUGUGUGCAGGACUCCUGUGGCACCUGGGAGCUCCAGCCUGCCUGCACUCUGGCAGCCACCUAUAUCCACCUCUGUGCCUGCAGCUUCGUGUCCCUGACCCUCCUCCACAGUGCGGUAAAGUGUCCCAUCUGGCGGGCUAAGAGUCAAAACAAAUCAUUUAAGGCCUGAUACAGCCUGGAUGUGUGUCUCCUCCAAAUCUCACUAUCGUUAGAGGGUGUACAUCCCUCAUGGAUGGUUUAGCAUCCUGCGUUUGGUGAAGUGUGAGUUCUUGCUCUAUUUGUUCAACUAAGAGCAGUUUGUUUAUAAAGAGCCUUGCCUCUCCUCUCUCUCUUUGCACACACUCCCAUUUCUGCCACGAUCUUAAGCUUCCCAAGGCCUCACCAGAAGGCAAGCAGAUGCUGGAGCUGUGCUUGUACAGCCUGUAGAACUGUGAGUCAAUUAUAUGUGUUAUUUAUGAUCUACCCAGGCCGGAGUGCAGUGGCACAAUCUCACCUCACUGCAACUUUCACCUCCCAGAUUCAAGCAAUACUCCUCCCUCAGCCUCCCAAAAAUACCGGCAGGUAUUUUUGUAGAGACGAUGUUUUUCUAAGUUGUCCAGGCCGGUCAUGAAUUUCUGACCUCCGGUGAUCCACCUCCCUCGGCCUCCCAAAGUGCCGGAUGACAGGCGUGAGCCACCACCCCCAGCCUCACGAGGGAUUUGAAUGUCCACUAUCGUUUAGGGAAAAUGCUCAGCCCCCGUUUUUCCUCUGCUCUCCUACUUCAAAAAUCAUCAUCCACACAGAAGAUGACUUGUACGAGCAAACGUGUGGGGAUUCGUCUCCACUACCAGGGCGGACCUCUAAUUCAGUUCUGACACUAGCUACCUUGAGAUCCUUCAGCCAGCGCCGCAUACAAUCGCCACAGCCAGAGCCCCAUUAAAAGGGCAUAAAUGUCAGUAUC
rnacentral:lncRNA from 13 species